UAAAUCAGUUAUCGUUUAUUUGAUAAUACCUUACUACUUGGAUAACCGUGGUAAUUCUAGAGCUAAUACAUGCUGAAAAUCCCGACUUCGGAAGGGAUGUGUUUAUUAGAUAAAAAACCAAUGCCCUUCGGGGCUUUUUGGUGAUUCAUGAUAACUUUACGGAUCGCAUAGCCUUGCGCUGGCGACGGUUCAUUCAAAUUUCUGCCCUAUCAACUUUCGAUGGUAAGGUAUUGGCUUACCAUGGUUUCAACGGGUAACGGGGAAUUAGGGUUCGAUUCCGGAGAGGGAGCCUGAGAAACGGCUACCACAUCCAAGGAAGGCAGCAGGCGCGCAAAUUACCCAAUCCCGACACGGGGAGGUAGUGACAAUAAAUACUGAUACAGGGCUCUUUUGGGUCUUGUAAUUGGAAUGAGUACAAUUUAAACCUCUUAACGAGGAACAAUUGGAGGGCAAGUCUGGUGCCAGCAGCCGCGGUAAUUCCAGCUCCAAUAGCGUAUAUUAAAGUUGUUGCAGUUAAAAAGCUCGUAGUUGAAACUUGGGCCUGGCUGGCGGGUCCGCCUCACCGCGUGCACUCGUCCGGCCGGGCCUUCCUUCUGAAGAACCUCAUGCCCUUCACUGGGCGUGCUGGGGAAUCAGGACUUUUACUUUGAAAAAAUUAGAGUGUUCAAAGCAGGCCUUUGCUCGAAUACGUUAGCAUGGAAUAAUAAAAUAGGGCGUGCGUUUCUAUUUUGUUGGUUUCUAGAGACGCCGCAAUGAUUAACAGGAACAGUCGGGGGCAUCAGUAUUCAGUUGUCAGAGGUGAAAUUCUUGGAUUUACUGAAGACUAACUACUGCGAAAGCAUUUGCCAAGGAUGUUUUCAUUAAUCAGUGAACGAAA
rnacentral:rRNA from 1 species